CCUACGGGUGGCAGCAGUGGGGGAUAUUGCACAAUGGGCGAAAGCCUGAUGCAGCGACGCCGCGUGAGGGAAGACGGUCUUCGGAUUGUAAACCUCUGUCUUUGGGGAAGAAAUCAGACGGUACCCAAAGAGGAAGCUCCGGCUAACUACGUGCCAGCAGCCGCGGUAAUACGUAGGGAGCGAGCGUUGUCCGGAAUUACUGGGUGUAAAGGGAGCGUAGGCGGGCUUGUAAGUUGAAUGUCUAAUCCACCGGCUCAACCGGUGAUCGCGUUCAAAACUGCAGGUCUUGAGUGAAGUAGAGGCAGGCGGAAUUCCUAGUGUAGCGGUGAAAUGCGUAGAUAUUAGGAGGAACACCAGUGGCGAAGGCGGCCUGCUGGGCUUUAACUGACGCUGAGGCUCGAAAGCGUGGGGAGCAAACAGGAUUAGAUACCCCUGUAGUC
rnacentral:rRNA from 1 species